rnacentral:rRNA from 1 species
AGCAGCCGCGGUAAUUCCAGCUCCAAUAGCGUAUAUUAAAGUUGUUGCAGUUAAAAAGCUCGUAGUUGAAUUUCGGGAUCGAUACGUCGGUCGUGCCUUGGUACGUACUAGCGUUAUCGGUUUCUCCUUUCUAACGAACCGUGAUGUCAUUAAUUUGGUGUUACGGGGAGUUAGGACUGUUACUUUGAAAAAUUAGAGUGUUUAAAGCAGGCUAACGCUUGAAUACAUUAGCAUGGAAUGAUGAAAUAGGACGUUCGAUCCUAUUUUGUUGGUUUCUAGGAUUGACGUAAUGAUUAAUAGGGAUAGUUGGGGGCAUUAGUAUUCAAUUGUCAGAGGUGAAAUUCUUGGAUUUAUUGAAGACUAACUACUGCGAAAGCAUUUGCCAAGGAUGUUUUCAUUAAUCAAGAACGAAAGUUAGGGGAUCGAAGACGAUCAGAUACCGUCGUAGUC